AACCCUAACACCCAGCAUCAAUUGACUUUUGGUGAUGGUGGUGUCAAACGGAUCAGAGGUGACCAAGCUUCCUUCUUCUGAGGGCAGACUGCCAGUACCAAAGUGGUGUUGCUAUGGAGAAUUCCAAGUACAGUGUUGGACAAUCACGGCCUUUUAACCUCUGCCAUGGACAGUAACUACAGCCAGCAUGUCGUCCAGUGCUUUAACCAAGAAACGGGCAUAGCAUGGAAAGCAGUGCUCCAUUGGAAGGUGAAAAGCCAUCACCUUCAAGAGGAGGAAGGCAAUGACAAGAUCAACCACAGUCCAGGAUGGUUGUGUUAAAGCCAUGUUGUCCCUGCUCCAAUGACCUGGAGUCUAUGGGCUGGAGGCAACGCUUUAAGAGUUUUAACAAAUGUGGAAUUGCAAUGUUUGGACGUCUGGAGGUCUAUAUCCUAUGUACCACACGGUACAAAAUGCGCUGGAAUUAAAAAAAAAAAAAAAAAAAGAAAAGGAGUAAUAAUACUUUAACUGACUGGUCUUAGGGAGAAAUCACACAGUUUCAGGCUGUUAGACACUAAUAAGUUACUAAAAAAUCUUACACUUGUUCUUACAUUUCAUAUUAUGGUUGAAAGCUUCUGCUUGUUAACAUGAAUCUCUCCAUUGCAAAGUAUUCAGAUGUUAAAUACCAAGAAAAUAUGACUACGUUUUAGAACUAAGUGUUAGCCUGAAAUGCACAGGGCACACGUUGGCCUUACUGCCUACAUCUUUCUGUGCACUGCAGUAGAUAUUAUUUCACUUUUUAUAUAAGCUACAAUUCAAGUUCCCCCCCUCAAAGAUAUUUCAGCCUUUACUUAGUACCUCAUUAUUUUAAUAUAUUCAAUUGAAAGCAGCAAAUAUGAGCACAGGAGCAGCAGCAAAGAAAUGCCAAGGUGCUUCCUGCACGCUCCACACCAUCACUCAGCUUGUCUGUGUCCUCAUUCUUGUGUUAAAGGGAGGUGUGGCAAGGCUUCUCCAUGAGCAAGGCUUUCCCCAUGCUUUGAAGAGCUCAAAGAGAACUGGGAUUUGGCUUGGAGAGACGAUGUGCUCCCACAGCUCUGUUUUGGUCAUUUUUUCUCUUUUAGGCUAAGAGACAAACUAACUCACCCAUUGUGUAGCUGCUGAGGUCUCCAGAUAAAGUGCUAUAAGAGUGCCACACACUAUUAUUCUUUUAUUAUGGAGCAGCCGUAGCUUUUCAAGAGUUAUUGUGGAUUUUUAUAUGUUUUCCUAUUGCCUUUUGUCUUCUAGUAGCAGUCCUGUGGUUUUGAGAGCUUC
rnacentral:lncRNA from 7 species